rnacentral:rRNA from 1 species
UACAGAGGGUGCAAACGUUGCUCGGAAUUAUUGGGCGUAAAGCGCACGUAGGCGGUCCAGCAAGCGGGGAGUGAAAGCCCCGGGCUUAACCCGGGAAGUGCUUUCCGAACUACUGGACUUGAAUGCAGAAGAGGAUCGCGGAAUUCCCGGUGUAGAGGUGAAAUUCGUAGAUAUCGGGAGGAACACCAGUGGCGAAGGCGGCGAUCUGGGCUGACAUUGACGCUGAGGUGCGAAAGCGUGGGGAGCAAAC